UGGAAAUUAAAUGUCACAAUCACAAUGUGUCUCAACCUGCAUUUUAGUAAUGAAGACAUACCUGGAAUUUGAUUUUAUAGUAAUAACAUUUUAGUUGCCAAAUGAGAAGCUUGGAUUGACUGAGUUUGAUGGAGAAAGAAGAAACCUUGAGAUUACAAUUUCAAAUUUCUUGAUAAGAUGCAAACAAUGAAAUAUGAUUGUAUUGUAAGUUGGAUUGUAU